UGUUCUCGGCAUCUUCUUGGUGAACGUUGCUGCACUUGACUGUGUGGAGCGCUACCCAGGACUUUUACUUUGAGGAAAUUAGAGUGUUUCAAGCAGGCAUAUGCCUUGAAUACAUUAGCAUGGAAUAAUAAGAUAGGACCUCGGUUCUAUUUUGUUGGUUUCUAGAGCUGAGGUAUGAUUAAUAGGGAUAGUUGGGGGCAUUCGUAUUUAACUGUCAGAGGUGAAAUUCUUGGAUUUGUU
rnacentral:rRNA from 1 species